ACACAAAAGCGCAUGUGCUGUGAGCUCGAUGAGUAGGGCGGGACACGUGGUAUCCUGUCUGAAUAUGGGGGGACCAUCCUCCAAGGCUAAAUACUCCUGACUGACCGAUAGUGAACCAGUACCGUGAGGGAAAGGCGAAAAGAACCCCGGCGAGGGGAGUGAAAAAGAACCUGAAACCGUGUACGUACAAGCAGUGGGAGCACAGGUUUACCUGUGUGACUGCGUACCUUUUGUAUAAUGGGUCAGCGACUUAUAUUCUGUAGCAAGGUUAACCGAAUAGGGGAGCCGGAGGGAAACCGAGUCUUAAUUGGGCGUUAAGUUGCAGGGUAUAGACCCGAAACCCGGUGAUCUAGCCAUGGGCAGGUUGAAGGUUGGGUAACACUAACUGGAGGACCGAACCGACUAAUGUUGAAAAAUUAGCGGAUGACCUGUGGCUGGGGGUGAAAGGCCAAUCAAACCGGGAGAUAGCUGGUUCUCCCCGAAAGCUAUUUAGGUAGCGCCUCGUGAAUUCAUCUCCGGGGGUAGAGCACUGUUUCGGCUAGGGGGCCAUCCCGGCUUACCAACCCGAUGCAAACUGCGAAUACCGGAGAAUGUUAUCACGGGAGACACACGGCGGGUGCUAACGUCCGUCGUGAAGAGGGAAACAACCCAGACCGCCAGCUAAGGUCCCAAAGUCAUGGUUAAGUGGGAAACGAUGUGGGAAGGCCCAGACAGCCAGGAUGUUGGCUUAGAAGCAGCCAUCAUUUAAAGAAAGCGUAAUAGCUCACUGGUCGAGUCGGCCUGCGCGGAAGAUGUAACGGGGCUAAACCAU
rnacentral:rRNA from 1 species